GUAGGUGGCAAGCGUUGUCCGGAAUUAUUGGGGCGUAAAGCGCGCGCAGGCGGUUCUUUAAGUCUGAUGUGAAAGCCCACGGGCUCAACCGUGGAGGGUCAUUGGAAACUGGAGAACUUGAGUACAGAAGAGGAAAGCGGAAUUCCACGUGUAGCGGUGAAAUGCGUAGAGAUGUGGAGGAACACCAGUGGCGAAGGCGGCUUUCUGGUCUGUAACUGACGCUGAGGCGCGAAAGCGUGGGGAGCAAACAGGAUAGAUACCCUGGUAGUCCACGCCGUAAACGAUGAGUGCUAAGUGUUAGGGGGUUUCCGCCCCUUAGUGCUGCAGCUAACGCAUUAAGCACUCCGCCUGGGGAGUACGGCAGCAAGGUUG
rnacentral:rRNA from 1 species